AGUUUGUUUACAAACUGCAUACAAUAAUGCGACGUUUGCCGAAAGGCAAACUUGGCAGAUAAACAGUGAGGCUGAAUUCCUUCCGAACUGUUUAUCAUAU
rfam:Treponema denticola ATCC 35405, complete genome.